CCAGAGGGUUGGGCGACCGCCGCUUAGCGGGUAACUGCUAAGGGGAGGAAAGUCCGGGCUCCAGCGAGGAACGGUGCCGGAUAACGUCCGGCGAAAGCAAUUUUAGGGAAAGUGCCACAGAAAAUAGUCCACCGCAUUUCGAUGCGGCCAGGUCGAAACGGUGCGGUAAGAGCGCACCGCAUUUCUGGUAACAGAAAUGGCAUGGCAAACCCCACCGGGAGCAAAACCGAAUAGGGGCGGCAUAUGGCAUCCUCCUGCCAGUCGCCCGGGUUGGUUGCAUGAGCGGCGCAGCAAUGCGUCGCCUAGAUGAAUGGUCGCACAUCCGCCUCGGUUUUGGCCGAAGCGGAGGACAGAACCCGGCUUACAGACCCUCUGGCUUU
rnacentral:RNase_P_RNA from 1 species